rnacentral:rRNA from 1 species
CCUACGGGAGACAGCAGUGGGGAAUAUUGCACAAUGGGGGAAACCCUGAUGCAGCGACGCCGCGUGAGUGAAGAAGGAAUUCGGUAUGGAAAGCUCUAUCAGCAGGGAAGAAAAUGACGGUACCUGAGUAAGAAGCCCCGGCCAACGACGUGCCAGCAGCCGCGGUAAUACGUAGGGGGCAAGCGUUAUCCGGAUUUACUGGGUGUAAAGGGAGCGUAGACGGCAGGGCAAGUCUGGAGUGAAAGGCGGGGGCUCAACCCCCGGACUGCUCUGGAAACUGUACGGCUGGAGUGCAGGAGAGGUAAGUGGAAUUCCUAGUGUAGCGGUGAAAUGCGUAGAUAUUAGGAGGAACACCAGUGGCGAAGGCGGCUUACUGGACUGUAACUGACGUUGAGGCUCGAAAGCGUGGGUAGCAAACAGGAUUAGAUACCCUUGUAGUC